AUUGAACGCUGGCGGCAGGCCUAACACAUGCAAGUCGAGCGAGCGGCGGACGGGUGAGUAACACGUGGGUAACUACCCAUCAGAGGGGGAUAACACUUGGAAACAGGUGCUAAUACCGCAUAUUGCUGGAUGGCCCGCGGUGCAUUAGCUAGUUGGUGAGGUAACGGCUCACCAAGGCCACGAUGCAUAGCUGGUCUGGGAGGAUGAUCAGCCACACUGGUACUGAGGCACGGCCCAGAGUCCUACGGGAGGCAGCAGUGGGGAAUAUUGCACAAUGGGCGGAAGCCUGAUGCAGCGACGCCGCGUGGGGGAUGACGGCCUUCGGGUUGUAAACGCCUUUCACCAUCGACGCGGUAGAUGGAGAAGAAGCACCGGCUAACUACGUGCCAGCAGCCGCGGUAAUUC
rnacentral:rRNA from 1 species